rnacentral:misc_RNA from 1 species
CAGAGCAUCAUGCCCUUCGGGGUAGAUCUCCCACCCUGUGUAUUUUAUACCUUUUGUUGCUUUGGCGGGCCGCCCUCGGCCACCGGCUCCGGCUGGUGCGUGCCCGCCAGAGGACCCCAAACUCUGAAUAUCAGUGUCGUCCGAGUACUAUAAAAUAGUUA